rnacentral:rRNA from 1 species
AAUCUUGCGCAAUGGACGCAAGUCUGACGGAGCAACGCCGCGUGAGUGAUGAAGGNUUNNGGAUCNUNAAACUCUGUUGUUAGNNNNNACCAAGUAUCGGAGUCACUGCCGUUACCUUGACGGUACCUGACGAGAAAGCCACGGCUAACUACGUGCCAGCAGCCGCGGUAAUACGUAGGUGGCAAGCGUUAUCCGGAAUUAUUGGGCGUAAAGCGCGCGCAGGCGGUUUCUUAAGUCUGAUGUGGAAGCCCACGGCUCAACCGUGGAGGGUCAUUGGAAACUGGGAAGCUUGAGUGCAGAAGAGGAGAGUGGAAUUCCAUGUGUAGCGGUGAAAUGCGUAGAUAUCGGGAGGAACACCAGUAGCGAAGGCGACUACCUGGUCGAGAACUGACGCUGAUGCACGAAAGCUAAGGGAGCAAACA